AAGCUAUGAUGAGGACAUUGUAUUAGUAAAUCAUUGAACCUUUCCAAAUACUUAUAUAAAGAUUCCCCCUCUUGUUGAGCAAAUGUGCAAAUAUGUUGCCUAAUAGAUU